rnacentral:rRNA from 1 species
AGUGGCGGACGGGUGAGUAACGCGUGAGAAUCUGCCUUCAGGUCGGGGACAACAUUUGGAAACGAAUGCUAAUACCCGAUGUGCCGAGAGGUGAAAGGUUAACUGCCUGAAGAUGAGCCCGCGUCCGAUUAGCUAGUUGGUGGUGUAAGAGACCCCCAAGGCGACGAUCGGUAGCUGGUUUGAGAGGACAAUCAGCCACACUGGGACUGAGACACGGCCCAGACUCCUACGGGAGGCAGCAGUGGGGAAUUUUCCGCAAUGGGCGAAAGCCUGACGGAGCAAUACCGCGUGAGGGACGAAGGCCUGUGGGUUGUAAACCUCUUUUCUCAGGGAAGAAGAUCUGACGGUACCUGAGGAAUCAGCAUCGGCUAACUCCGUGCCAGCUGCCGCGGUAAGACGGAGGAUGCAAGCGUUAUCCGGAAUUAUUGGGCGUAAAGCGUCCGCAGGCGGUUUCGUAAGUCUGUCUUUAAAGAGUGGAGCUUAACUCCAUAAAGGGGAUGGAAACUGCGAGACUAGAGGUAGGUAGGGGUAGAAGGAAUUCCCAGUGUAGCGGUGAAAUGCGUAGAUAUUGGGAAGAACACCAGCAGCGAAGGCGUUCUACUGGACCAAACCUGACGCUCAUGGACGAAAGCUAGGGGAGCGAAAGGGAUUAGAUACCCCUGUAGUCCUAGCCGUAAACGAUGGACACUAGGUGUUGCAC